CAAAAACAUAGUCACGUGAAUAUGCGUAUGUGAUGAUUUCUGCUCAAUGAUAAUUAAAUAGCCGCAGUACCUUGACUGUGCAAAGGUAGCGCAAUCAAUUGACUUUUAAUUGAAGUCCUGUAUGAAGGAAUAUAUAGGGAGUCACUGUCUCUGAUGUAUUUAAUAAACUUCCUUAGUAAGUGAAAAUUCUUACAUUUAAAUAAUAGACGAGAAGACCCUAGAAAUUUUAAGAAUAAUGUAUAGAUAAUCUUUUUGUUGGGGCAACAUAGUAACAAAUAAUUUACUAAGUUACAUGAAGAGUAUAUUUUGAAAGGGUAAUUACUCUAGGGAUAACAGCAUAAUUUUUAAUAGUUUGUGACCUCGAUGUUGGAUUAGGGGGUUAACGUUUAAAACAUAAGUUUUCCUUGCUCUGUUCGAGC
rnacentral:rRNA from 1 species